rnacentral:rRNA from 1 species
UGCAAGUCGAGCGGGCCUUUCGGGGUCAGCGGCGGACGGGUGAGUAACGCGUGGGAACGUGCCCUCUGGUUCGGAAUAACUCAGGGAAACUUGAGCUAAUACCGGAUACGCCCUUUUGGGGAAAGGCUUGCUGCCGGAGGAUCGGCCCGCGUCUGAUUAGCUAGUUGGUGAGGUAACGGCUCACCAAGGCGACGAUCAGUAGCUGGUCUGAGAGGAUGAUCAGCCACACUGGGACUGAGACACGGCCCAGACUCCUACGGGAGGCAGCAGUGGGGAAUAUUGGACAAUGGGCGCAAGCCUGAUCCAGCCAUGCCGCGUGAGUGAUGAAGGCCUUAGGGUUGUAAAGCUCUUUUAUCCGGGACGAUAAUGACGGUACCGGAGGAAUAAGCCCCGGCUAACUUCGUGCCGGCAGUCGCGGUAAUACGAAGGGGGCUAGCGUUGCUCGGAAUCACUGGGCGUAAAGGGCGCGUAGGCGGCGUUUUAAGUCGGGGGUGAAAGCCUGUGGCUCAACCACAGAAUGGCCUUCGAUACUGGGACGCUUGAGUAUGGUAGAGGUUGGUGGAACUGCGAGUGUAGAGGUGAAAUUCGUAGAUAUUCGCAAGAACACCGGUGGCGAAGGCGGCCAACUGGA